rnacentral:rRNA from 1 species
CCUACGGGAGGCAGCAGUGAGGAAUAUUGGUCAAUGGGCGGGAGCCUGAACCAGCCAAGCCGCGUGAGGGAAGAAGGUACAGCGUAUCGUAAACCUCUUUUGUCGGGGAGCAAAGAGAGUCACGUGUGGCUCAUUGAGAGUACCCGAAGAAAAAGCAUCGGCUAACUCCGUGCCAGCAGCCGCGGUAAUACGGAGGAUGCGAGCGUUAUCCGGAUUUAUUGGGUUUAAAGG